rnacentral:rRNA from 1 species
GACGAGCCACACGAACGUUAUUCGGAAUUACUGGGCUUAAAGGGUGCGUAGGCUGCGCGGAAAGUUGGGUGUGAAAUACCUCGGCUCAACCGAGGAACUGCGCCCAAAACUACCGUGCUCGAGGGAGAUAGAGGUGAGCGGAACUUACGGUGGAGCGGUGAAAUGCGUUGAUAUCGUAAGGAACACCCGUGGCGAAAGCGGCUCACUGGGUCUUCUCUGACGCUGAUGCACGAAAGCUAGGGGAGCAAACGGG